AACGAACGCUGGCGGCAGGCCUAACACAUGCAAGUCGAGCGAGGACUUCGGUCCUAGCGGCGGACGGGUGAGUAACGCGUGGGAACGUGCCCCCUUUCUACGGAAUAGCCCCCGGGAAACUGGGAGUAAUACCGUAUAAGCCCUACGGGGGGAAAGAUUUAUCGGGAAGGGAUCGGCCCGCGUUGGAUUAGGUAGUUGGUGGGGUAAUGGCCUACCAAGCCGACGAUCCAUAGCUGGUUUGAGAGGAUGAUCAGCCACACUGGGACUGAGACACGGCCCAGACUCCUACGGGAGGCAGCAGUGGGGAAUCUUAGACAAUGGGCGCAAGCCUGAUCUAGCCAUGCCGCGUGAGCGAUGAAGGCCUUAGGGUUGUAAAGCUCUUUCAGGGGGGAAGAUAAUGACUGUACCCCCAGAAGAAGCCCCGGCUAACUCCGUG
rnacentral:rRNA from 1 species